AGCGAACGCUGGCGGCAGGCUUAACACAUGCAAGUCGAGCGGGCAUCCUUGUGGUGUCAGCGGCAGACGGGUGAGUAACGCGUGGGAACGUGCCCUUCGGUUCGGAAUAACUCAGGGAAACUUGAGCUAAUACCGGAUACGUGCGAGAGCAGAAAGGUUUAUCUGCCGAAGGAUCGGCCCGCGUCUGAUUAGCUAGUUGGUGAGGUUACGGCUCACCAAGACGACGAUCAGUAGCUGGUCUGAGAGGAUGAUCAGCCACACUGGGACUGAGACACGGCCCAGACUCCUACGGGAGGCAGCAGUGGGGAAUAUUGGACAAUGGGGGCAACCCUGAUCCAGCCAUGCCGCGUGAGUGAUGACGGCCUUAGGGUUGUAAAGCUCUUUUCUCCGGGACGAUAAUGACGGUACCGGAGGAAUAAGCCCCGGCUAACUUCGUG
rnacentral:rRNA from 1 species